UCGACUAUUCACUUGUGCAAUUGUGUAAAACUAUGUUAUCAACACUUUUGUUACAUAUUUUGACGAUUGUUGGAACGCAAUAGGUAAUUUAUAGAUAUUUAAAAAUACAAAACGCCUAUGUUUUUCCCAUUUCUGG